CCUACGGGGGGCUGCAGUGGGGAAUAUUGGACAAUGGGCGCAAGCCUGAUCCAGCAACGCCGCGUGAAUGAUGAAGGCCUUCGGGUUGUAAAGUUCUUUUAGCAGGGAAGAAAAUGACGGUACCUGCAGAAUAAGCUCCGGCUAACUUCGUGCCAGCAGCCGCGGUAAUACGAAGGGGGCUAGCGUUGUUCGGAAUUACUGGGCGUAAAGCGUGCGUAGGUUGUUAUCCAAGUCAGGGGUGAAAUCCCGAAGCUUAACUUCGGAAUUGCCUUUGA
rnacentral:rRNA from 1 species